rnacentral:lncRNA from 1 species
GGUGUAGCCCAGAAGAGAGUGAUGGCGGCGCCGCCCAAUGGACGCGUGGGUGGAAGGGCCCGAGCCUCCUCAUCCACCCCCUCCUUCCGCCCCCCACUUGUGCAUGCCUCUGCCCCCCCGGGCCGCGGAACUCUCCUGGGGCGACCCCGAGUCCCACCCCGCUGCUCCGUGCCGUCCUCGCAGCUCGAGCCCUCCUCCAGCCCAGCAGUGCUCCCGCAGCGUCUGGCCGCUGGUCGUCGGCAGACGAAAGGGCUUGAACCGCGGCUGACCUUAGCCUUUGUCCCUCGGCCUAGUUCCGCAGCUGCCGUCGAGGCCGCCAGCCCCUCCCCCAGCAUGUUUGGGCUAAGCCGCCUCCUUUCCGCCUGCGUUGGAGAGAGAGGUACCAGAAGGAAUGAAAGGACUGGGGCUUGUCUCCAUGGCAACUGAAAGAAAGAGGGAGAAGGCAGGAGGGAAAAGGAGGAGAGGUCACAGACAAGCCCCCUGACUCUGUUGAUCUUCACUGCAGUAGCUUCUCAUUACAAGCAGGCAUCUGGCCAUUGUAGACCAUUAUAACUGUAGUUCUAGAAGUAAUAAUAGCAGAUUUAUUGUACAGAAGUGUCCACGGGCUCACAAUUCUAAGGACAUCAUCAUGACAGCAAGUAGGAAAAAAAAUUAAAGUAAUUCUUUCACCAAUUACCAGUUUAUCUCUUCUCCAAUUCCUUUGGAUACGCCUCCUGCAAGAAGCCGAUUUCCAGCUGUAUGUGAUAAUGAAAGGGUUUUUCUUUCUUAUGUUAAAUACAAGCGAAGUGAUUAACUGGAAGAUAGCGUCUGAUUGCGAGGAAAUCAGUGAUUCAGAUGGUGUGGGAAUGGCACCUGGGGAUGGGGGAGGCAGGACGGAGAUGGAGGAAGCUG